AUUUGAUUUGAUUUAAUAUUUGAAUUCGAUUUGAGAUAAACACCGUACACAUGCUAGACUUAUUUGUUUAUGCUUGUGCAGUUGGCAUUAUAAUAGGCGAUUGCAAAAAAUAGCAGACAAACUUACAGCAAAAUGGGUGUGACUUGGGCUUGACUUAUUAAUUGCUUGCUUCAAUCUGCAGCUACGUCCCCGUUCUUUGGAUCUUCUUGC
rnacentral:misc_RNA from 1 species